AACGAACGCUGGCGGCAGGCUUAACACAUGCAAGUCGAGCGCCCCGCAAGGGGAGCGGCAGACGGGUGGGUAACGCGUGGGAACGUACCUUUUGGUUCGGAACAACUCCGGGAAACUGGAGCUAAUACCGGAUAAGCCCUAACGGGGAAAGAUUUAUCGCCGAAAGAUCGGCCCGCGUCUGAUUAGCUAGUUGGUGAGGUAACGGCUCACCAAGGCGACGAUCAGUAGCUGGUCUGAGAGGAUGAUCAGCCACACUGGGACUGAGACACGGCCCAGACUCCUCCGGGGGCCGCCGGGGGGAAAUAUUGAAGAAGGGGCGCAAGCUGAACCCCCCUUUGCCGCGUGAGAAAUGAGGCCCUUAGGGUUUAAAACCUCUUUUGCCCGGAAAGAAAAGGCCUGUCCGGAAAAAAAAACCCCCGACUAGCUUCGCG
rnacentral:rRNA from 1 species